rnacentral:lncRNA from 1 species
GCCCCCGGCGCCGGCACGCGGACCCGAACGAGGCGACAAGGUCGGUCCUCCCCCGCCGGGCCUUCCCCGCGCUCCCCGGCGCCCCCAGCCCGCUGACCCCCGGCCAGGCAGGCCCGCGGGGGAGGCAGGACCGGAGCCCUGAGGCCCUGGCCGGCCUCGGGGUUGAGGCUCAGCUCGGGAUAAGUGAUCUUUGGGGCCCGCAGAGGACGUCUCCCCAAGACCCAGUGGCAACCGGGUGGCACGUACCUGCCUCUUCUUGGAGUAUGGACGAGUCGAACCGGGCACAAGCAUGGAGCUGCGGGUGAGUCCCGGCUGGCGCUGGCGCGGCGCAGUGAGCACCAGCUGACGAAGAGGGCUCCCCGGCCUCGGCUCCUGCCUGACUCUCUCCCACCUCCGCCGGGGGCCCAGAAGGGACCUCCCCGGGAAAUCGGCGCCACCCAGCGGGCAGCCGCCUCAUCGCGCCUGGGCCGGCAGAGCCACACCCCGCGUCUCGCGUCACUGAGUCGCGUCACGGCUAUUGGCUUGUUCCUACUGUGGCGUCAUUAGAGCCCGGCCUCCGGCUGGGGCCACCCAGGCAACCGAUAUACACAGAGAACCACGUGGAGGAAAAGCACGCGAGUUUGGAGCGGGUGGAGCAGGAACAGAGGUGGACUGGAAUGUCACACGACGGGGCAGCUGGAAGGGCACCACUGAGUUCAGUACUUCAAAAUUGCCGUGCUCUACCUCUCCCCAGUGCACAAAAACACUCUCCACACCAAGCUGCUGCUGCUGGGGGAUGGAGGGAUGGCGUCAGCGAUUCAAGACUGUUUUUCCUACCUGUUCAGCACUUCUUUCAGCGAUAUGAAGUUAAAUCCAGGCAUCAUCGCCAUCAACAUACAGCCAUACUCCAGGAUUGCCCAUCUUCAACAUAAACGGACUCUCCUGGACUCCACUUCCCACAUCAGUCACAGCCACACUUCCUGAGAAAGAAGUCUACACUCUUCAUUCACUUUCAUUCACCCACUUCCAACCUGGCUCCUGUUACCACUGGACCGUCAAAAGUGACUCUUGUCAAAGUCACUAUUCUGGCUACCUAUUGCUGUGUAAUAACCUCCUCAAAAUUUAGUAUCUUUAAAAAACAAUUUAUUAUGUCU